rnacentral:misc_RNA from 1 species
AUUUUCUUUACGGCGUCGUGUAAUAUCAAGCACCCGUAGUAUCUGUAGAACCCGGAAGAAGUUUAUGUGAGCGUUCACAUGGAGGCCGGUCUUUGUACGCGUCAGCUUUUAAUCUCGAUUUAAGUGGGAUAUCACGUUAGCGCGAGGGGCGCAAAACGAGAAUGGCAGCGGGGCCAAUUGAAAGACGCGUGCGUGAAUGCGUCCUUCUUCCGUGUAGCUACACCCUUGAGAGAGUGCCGUCUGACGCGCAAAUGCGUAAAUAUUAUCAGAGCACCGGUGAAAAGAAAGAAAAGAAGGCAACAGGUAGCCGAACAUCACGCUUGGGCACUUGCAAUUUCAUUUAAUAAUGAUGUCAUCUACGACAUUGACAUCGACACCAGAUGUAGGCGCCAAUAGAAGAUGCAAAGAAUGCGAAUAAACAGGCACGUAAUUUAUGCGAAGAUCUGAAACGCAAAUGUGACCUUAACCGAAAGAACACGAGCGUGGGUACACCCUUGUUCAUAAGUUUAUUAGAACACAUGUAAAAACUUGUGUAAAUUUAAAUUACUAAGAAAUUCCUGACACGUGCAAAAAUUAUCUCAUUUGAAACGUUGGACUAUAAAGAAUCUAUGGUUUGGAAUUUCAGAAUGAAAAAUAAUUUUAAACAGUUGAACAUCCAAACACGUAUUAGCACGUUUAUGAAAACCUACUUAGACAGAUUUGCCAAAUCAUUAAGAAGUAAGUUAUGAUCGUCGGACUAUGAAGCACUGAUAUUUUGAGACAGUAACAUCAGAAAUAGUUUCAAAUAUAAAAUAUCAAAUGAUUUCACUCGGAGAAUGAAUAAUUUGCUUGUAUAAAUAUACCAAUGCAUAGAUAUUUCGUAGUAACAUGCUCUAACCUUCGUGUUGCGCCGGUUGGAUUACUGCUACACCGGUAUCCUCCUCUAUUAGCUUUCUACGUCACGCAGCCUAUUAAUUCGACGAAAUCGACGAACGAAAUUGAAAUUUGAUUAACACUAGUGUCGCUUAACCUCACGUCAAACUUGUACCGACCUCCGGACACUUCGAUGACCGAGGAUGCUACUGAUCACUCGCUAAUGUCAAUAAGAGAAAUGUAAGACAAAGCCGAAUGUGACGAACAAUACAAGUGUCUUUCAUAUAAACUACAUCGUAAUCCGAUUAUGUUCUAUGAAGUUGCUAUACUUGGCUAUUGGUGUCAGUUAUACUCGCGUACAUAUUUACCGUGUCUUAAGUUUGUACCACGAGUUUAUUCAUGUGGUUGUAGUAUUUGCCGUGAGAUAAAACCUUUAAUUUGGGACGAUGACGCGCGCGCACGCGUUUGUGUGUGUGUUUGAGCAUAUUCGA